CUUUUUUGUUAUAUAGGUUUACUGGGAAGAAUGAACUUCUUUUAAGAAAGAGGUGUGCAGGCUGAGUGCGUUCUGCUCAGUCCGGCUCACUCUGCUCACUUUCGACCAGGAGACAGAGCUGCAACUUGGAUCCACACGACAGAGGCACAGGGGAGCAUAAAGGCCAUUGUCCUGAGCUGUAGAAGUGAACAACAGAGAGAGGGCCUCUCUCAGGCUCCCUGAUGGAAACUGAAGAAAAGUGAAGAGAUUCUCUUCAAUAAAGGCACACCAGACCACUGUGCUUGCAGGGUGAAAAGGUAUGACAUCAACUGAGAUUGUAGAAGAAGCGAAUGAAGACAGACACUCAAGGAAAGCCUCGCCGUAGUGGCUUGGAAUCCUUGGUGCCAACAAGAUGUCAUCCACUCCCAGUAUUUUAUGAGCCUCUUAAAAGGGUGAGUAUCCAGGAAUGAUACUUGUGCAGUUU
rnacentral:lncRNA from 1 species